UGGAGCAGAAGCGCGACUGACGGUACUCACUCUUCGGAGUGAAAGCUGAGGAAACUCCCGACUGCGUGUCGGCACCAGUCCUGUUAAAGCAGGGAGGCGAGAGCCUCGCUCUGGGAACAGAAACGACACCCCCGAAUUGGAUACGACAAUGAUACAGAGAUUCAAUCUGUUGAGGAUCAGUUCGGACCGGUUGAAACGGCCCAACACUGGGUCAGCAAGUCCAAGCGUGCACCUAUGACGUGUCGACCUGAGGUGCAGGGUAGGAUGCUAAGUUCGAUGUCGCAAGAUCUCUUCAUGGUAACAUUGAGAGAUGGAACAAAAUUGGGGUUACUCUCUGGACCA
rnacentral:RNase_P_RNA from 1 species